UAAAAACAGGCAGUGUAAAU
rnacentral:miRNA from 1 species